CUGGUCCAUGUACUGGGUUUUAGACAUUCUUUUGAUAUAGGUGUAUAUGGAUAAUGUUAUUAGCUACAUUAACUGUUACCACAUAUGAAGUAUAAAAGAAAAAAAACAGCAAUCGUUCCUGAACAAUUUUAGGGUGAUCCACUUCCUAAAUUCAGAGUGGUGCAGGAAAAUUUGUCUGGUGCAGGUUAUUUUCAAUGUUAACUGCAGGUCUGGCCAACAUCAACAGGUGGCGCUAUUAAAGCGGCACAAUUUGUAGCAACAUUAGCCCAAAAGCAGUUAUUCAAGCAACUGGACAUGAUUUUGAAAACAGUUAGACAUUUCAAACAACAUCCAUUGUUUUUCGUCAGUGACACUACACAGCCAGGCACAAACACAAGCUGAGCGUAUCAGAACUUGUUACUUCACAUGAGUUGCAUCCUAAAAGUAGUGCAUGGGUUAAUGUAUAAACUAUUUCUACCUCCUCUUUGUGUGUGUGUGACUGUGCGUUUGGAUAUCUGUGGUUAUGGAACUUAAGAACAGCUGGAUGGAUUGUGAUAUUUCAUUGAAGUGGGUAGCUCCUGGGAAGACAAACUAAGGCGAAAACCAAUUUCUGGGUCUCCUAGCAUCUGUCCUUGGUGCUGAAGUAGACCUUACAACUUUUAUAUUUUUAUCUGUUUAUGUCCUGAAAAUAAAAGGGCUUUGAUUCUUUGAUACUUUUGAUGCUGGAAAAGUGGGUUUGAUCCCAAUACACCUACUUAAAAAUUGUGUGUGUGAUGAAGAAACUUCCGUUGUGUGUGUGUCUUCACAUAUGGUUCAACUAUUAGACCUGGGAUCCUUUUGCAGAAAAUGACUUCCAUAAAGCCAUCUGUCUGGAAUAUACAAUAGUCUGCAAUGUUGUGUUAAGUAAUAGUAUCCAAGACAAACUUUUUAAGGUGAAAGCCAAUUUAUGGACCUCCUUGUGUCUGUCCUUGGUGCUGAAGCAGAAUUUACAAUUUUUUUAUCUUUUUUUUUUACAAUUUUGUUAUCUUUUUUAUGUCCUGGGCAUGAAAGGGCUUUGAUACUUUAGAUGCCAGGGAAAGUGGGUUUGUCCCUCUACAAGCUCCUUAAAACAAUGGAGCACGGCACAUUGACACUAGAGUUGUGUGAUUCACACCUAAUUGCCGAUGGCAGUGAAUCACAACACUGUAAAUAUUAUGUGUUUCCAUAACAUACUAGUAGUAACAGUAGUAUGGAAGUUUUUUGCUUCAAAUGCAAACUCAUGUCAAGAGAAAUUCACCUGUCUCUAUAAUAAUGAUAAUAAUAUUGGGUGUAUUUGCAGCCAGUAGGUACCCAAUGUGUUGAGUAAUGAGGCUGAUUAACAUGGUCUAGGUGCCUUCUCGAACACGGGACCCCCAUUUUACAUCCCUUCUGAAGGACAAUUUUGUGGAAAUCUUGGUCGAACUACAGUAUCCGGUCGUCCCAACAGGAAGGGACCCUACUCUUUUUGAUAAGUUUGGUAGGUACUUUAACAUGCUUGAGGUGUGGCUCUCCUCAAACAAGGGCCCCCCAUUUAACAUCCUAUCUGAAAGACAGCCCUAACAGUAGCUAGGUAACUCAUUUACACCUGAGUGAAGUGAGGAAAGUUUUGUUAAGAGCCACUCCCAAGAUCAGACCAACAUGACAGGAAUUGAACCCAGGACCACUUGAGUCUGAGCGGAACACUCUGUCAUUACACCACUGAUCGUCACAAGCCUCAGGUAAGUGGCUCUUAUUCCAGUUCUCAAACCUAGAAUCAAGCAGAGUCUCAGAAUCAAAAAUGCACAAAAUAUCUGCAACAAAUCUUGGGCUUUCUGUAAACUUUUUCAUUCCAAUGCAUUGUCCUAUGUUUGUCUGGGAUUCUUACCAUAUACUGCAUGUAGAGGGAACAUCAUGGCCUUGUUCCAUAUCUGUUGAUUACAUUUUAUAUCUUUUAUGCAUCUUUCAUUUCCUUGCCACAUGUACAGGUUCUCAUACUUUUAUCCUCAAACUUUUCUUGUUUACCUUGGACUUACUUCUCCAACUAAAAGUGAGAUUCUAAAUUAUGGCUAAGUGUGAUGAUUCAUUUAGUAGAACAAAACAAUUGUGUUCUACCUUGUAACUGUAACAAUGCUGCAUGGGACAAACAAAUGAUCAAAUGCUGCAAAAUGGGACAAAAAAAACUCGACGACCUCCCAAUUUGUGAUAUCCGUUCAUCAGAGUUUGAAGCAUUGCUGCUUAUAAACAGCUGCCAUCAGGACAUUCAGGGCUUACGCAUUAGUAUUCACAAAAAAAAAGAACAUUAAUGCUCACUGACAGGCUGUCUACAAGCCCACAAUGGCAUCAGGAAGGACUAUAAAAUGACACUGCCUCCAUAUGCCUUCAAGUGCUAACUUGUACUGUGCAACAUACAAGACCUGAUCUGAUCUAGAAAGGACUUUACAAUUGCAUUCAUGUUAGAAAGAAAAGAAUCCUGCCAAUUACACUACAUCAUGCCAUUCAGUACUACAAUGUACUUGAUUGAGGUCUACAUGCAUUCAAGCUUUCAAUGCCAAUUGCUGGAGGAAAGUAAGGAAAGAAACAAAAUGUUUCUUUGAACAAGCAAGAGGAGAAAAGCAAGCAAAAGUUCAUGUAUUACGUGAUUGCAGAUGUCUACAUGCAUUCAAGCUUUCAAUGCUAAGUGCUGGAGAAAAAUAAGGAAACAAACAAGAAACAAAAUGUUUUUUGAACAAGCAAGCGGAGAAAAGCAAGCAACAGUUAAUAUGUUGAAGACUGUCAUUUUGAAGGUCUAUUGCCGUUUAUUAGCCGAUUGAUGUCUUACAUACAUUGAUGUAUUCAACGUCACUGCCUGGAGAAAAGGAAAUGAAAUAUUCCUUUAAAAAACAAGUCUUCAGGACUACAAAAGCAAGCAAAACUUCAUGUUGAGGUGCCAUUACAAAGGACUACUGCGUUUGUAAGCCAAUUGAUGUAACUGUACAUUGAUGUAUUCAACAUCAAUGCCUGGAGAAAACAAAACACAACGACAUAUUCCUUUGGAAAGCAAGAGGACUACAUAGCACUUGAGUGUAGGGCUCGUCCAGAUUUGUGUGACUGCAAUGUCUCCUACUGAUUGCACCUAUGAUGGAAGGAAGGAAAGAGGGAAGGAAAGAAGGAAGGAAGGAAGGAAGGAAGGCUACUGUGGCCCUACACUUCCAUGCUACAGCCUCAUUACUCUUUAAGGUGCAUAGAUGGUGGUGGUGGGAAAUUCCUGAUCAUGAGAGUCCUCCUACUGAGAGAUGGCAAAGCUGUCACUGUUGCAUUCAUGUUUAAAAAAGGACAAGAAUACUGGCUGUCUGGAAUCCCACAAUGACCAUCAUGGAGUAUCUGCGGUUUUGGCUCAGACAAAGACAACGUGGCCACUCUUUGGCUACAGAAACAGCCCGAUCAUGACGAAAAGAUCAACAUUCGCCGUGUGGACUGCAUCGACUUGCCCUGGCAGUUGGUCAAGCUGGAGGUCAGGUGAAAUACAGGACAAAAAGUCUGAAGAUCAGGAUUGGUGAAAUACCUUCGGAGAAACCGUCAACCCCAACUGCACUUGCUGUACCUGCACUAUGGCUGCUGAGUGCUGUUCCAAGUGAAGGCCUGAAAGAUAUCAGGUACAGUGUUAGUGCAAAUAACAAAGCCAAACAUUGUCUCUACAUGUAUUUGAUUUUAUUGUCAACAUCAGCUGAAAAAUGCUGUCAUAUAAUACAGUUAGUAACAUUUAGUAGUGAUUAUAAGCAUAAGGGUGACUGAAGUCAGGGUUCUCUUUGACAAACGUUGGACAAACAUCAUCAUCAUCACAAUUAAUUAUUAAAUAAUGAUUUCACGCGGUACCCGCUUUUGUUCGAUGCUAGAAGUUCUGUUCUGUUCUCAUCAAGCUUUAAGGCUAAACCCACAACAAUGGGCCAGAGAUAUCAGAAUUAUUCCAGAUCAUGUUCAGAUCUUGUGUUGUAUGUUCAAGGCUAAAGUUAAGAUGAACACUGUUUUAUCCACUGUGGUAAAAUUGCCAUUUUGUCUACUGAC